rnacentral:lncRNA from 1 species
CCGAGGCAUCCAUGGAGAUUAGGAUAGAGAUGCACAAUUCCUUAAACACUAGAAAGUUUAAAGCUAUGGAGCGAUAUAUUGAUGAGGAGGAUGAAGCUGAACUUCAAAGGCGCCGUUCUGUCAUAUACACAAGAUGAUUUGAGGCCUAUGCUUUGGUAACAGUUUAUAUGUUAAUGUUAGUUGUUAAAUCUCCUAAUUGGUGGCCAUCUAUUAUAUAUGUAUGUACAAUUUAUUAAGUUAAUGCUAGUUGUUAAAUCUCCUAAUUGGCUGCCAUAUAUUAUAUAUGCACGUGUCUAAGGCGUCGCCUCGCCUUACGCUUUAGCGCUUAGGCGGUGAGGCGCCCCCCCCCCCCCAGCGCCUCGCCUCGCCUUACCGCCUUAAAAACAUAGGUUAUAACUGAUAUAACUCAAUUGUUCGUACAGGUCUUAGAGUCUUGUUGUUCUCGAAAAGUGGUGAUAUCAUAUCUUAGAAGAAGUCUGAUGCCUUACCUGAUUUGCUUGGUUUCCAUGCGCCAUUCCAGUAAGUUCGUUAAAACAUUUGUUCUUCUGGUGUACCUUGCAUACUUCUAUCUAUCUCGGUCAUUUUUGGCGAAGUUUCUUCUGCUGAGUGUCUCCAUAUAUGGAGUUAGUCAAGUAUAACUAUUAGUUUACAUUGGUUAAUAAAAAUGAGCCAUGCUUCAUUAGUUCAUAAAUAAUAAAAGAUAGUGUUCCAUACCUGCUAAGAAGUUUGUGAGUUGCAGAUAUAUCUAGAUCUGUAUAUACUUGCAGCAGUGGUUGACUUUGGGCAAUAUCCUAUUUAACCAUGAAAAACUUUUUAAAAAGUAACAGAAGAUGUUGUGACUUUAUUGGACUUACUGCUAAACUCCACCAUUGUGGAUGUCACAAUAAGGAUAGUUUGGCUGUCGACUACAUCCUCAUUCAAAAGAUAAGUAGAAUUUCCCCAUAGUGUAACUCUGAGUUUAUCACUCAUGAAGAGUUUAAGCUGGAAAAGAUAAUGUUAAUGCAAUGAUGGAAGUCAAAUUAAAGUCUUUGUUAUUAUACACUUACUCUGUCAACGUCGCCUAAAUAGUUCAUCUCCCAUACACCCAAUUCUCUCAACAUGCAGCCUUCCACAUCACCAAUAUGCCAAAUCAGCAUUUUUAUUUUUAUUCUUCUAUUUUUUGUGCAGACCUAUCGUCUUGAUUCCACAUGCUUCAUUUGGGCGAGUAGUCCAAAACGGCAUGUGUAAAACUGGUGAUUAAUUACUCCAUAGCUAGAAAGAUUAGUUAUUUGAGUCUUAUUUGGAACUAUAUAGUAUAGGUAAACCUGAGCAUUGCUUAUCUUUCCCGGCAUGUUCUUGUACAGUUUCCUUGGAAGCAAACUCGAAGUAGUAAUCAGGAAAACAUUCUGAUGAUCCUUACCUUUGUAUUUCAUUGGUCGAAUGGUGAUACUUUGUUGCUUUCACAACUUUAAAAUUGUAAAUGCAUAAACAUAAUUAUCUUUUAUCUUUGAUCAACAAUUGUGUAUCAACCUCCUCCACAUUUAUAGUAUCAUGAUCUUUUAGGGUCACAGUAAAAUGCAUUGCUUGGCCCUGUCAAACAUUUACAAUAUAUUAGCACUUGUGGUUCAAAACAAUAGAACAAUCAGCAUGUAAAUAUAUACUCCCUCUGUUCCUAAAUAUAAUACCUUCUAGAUAUUCUAAUAUCUUCUACAUACGGAGCAAAAGGAGUGAAUCUACACUCUAAAAUAUGUCUAUAUACAUCCGUAUGUAGUCCGUAUUGAAAUAUCUAAAAGGAUUAUACUUAGAAACGGGGGGAGUAAAUAUAUAAACAUUUUCAUCCAUCGAAGCUCAUAUGCUCAUCAGUCGGAGGAUUGAUUGAAUAUAUAUUCUCGUACUUUCACUUGAGUGUCGUUUGUCCUAUCAUUGUUAAGGCACUAAGAUUCUUACACGCCAUGGUGCUUUGGCUGCAAAACCGUUUGAAAAUUGUUUGUCAAUUGAUAAUAUCUCAUAGAUUUUAUCCUCAUUAAGUGAAUUCACUAAAUAAUAUUUAUGAACCUUGAUUAUUCAGCAGAGGCAGCAACUCAGAAGGUUUGCCUGGCAUCGUGACAUCUGUCAUAGUUUUGGCUGAUUUGCGUUGCAUCGUUUGUUUCAUCAUGGCGGCAACUCAGAAGGUUUGGCUGGCGUUGAGACAUGUUCUGUCACAGUUUUGGCUGAUUUGUGUCGCAUUGUUUGUUUCAUCACGGCAUCGGCAGAUUUCUAUAUUGUAGGUGGUCUGUUUGUCGGGCAGAUUUUGCUUCCUGGAUCUCUCGCAAAAAGCAGCCCUAUAUCUAUGGAGCGAACUUCUGGAUGUACUUUGUCCAUCAUGAUGCUCUCCAGCACAGUCCGGUCCUACCCUGAUUGCAUCCAUUGCACUUUGGUGUGGUGUUUGCCAUGCUCUCGGAUGCCGUCCAAUCACGCCCUUUUUGCAUCCAUCACACUUUGUCAUGGUGUUUAGUCUCACGUGGAGCAUGAUAUGGAUCGUGCCAGAUCUCACUUGUGUUGUAGUACAUGGAAAAAAAGUUUUGCCUUCUUGGGCGUUGUGACGCCUCGAGACCGUUGCGCCAGGUGUCUCCCAGUUGUUCGUUGUUGUUGCCUUGUCUUUUGCUUGCGUGUCGCAUCUUGUCAUGUCAUCAUCCGCAUUGCAUCAUCAUGUUUUUAAAACUUGAAUUCGUUCGGGUUCCCAGUUUCGUCCGUUGUCCGUUCUGAG